rnacentral:rRNA from 1 species
UACGUAGGGUGCGAGCGUUGUCCGGAAUUAUUGGGCGUAAAGAGCUCGUAGGCGGUGUGUCACGUCGGCCGUGAAAACCUGCAGCUUAACUGUGGGCGUGCGGUCGAUACGGGCAUCACUGGAGUUCGGCAGGGGAGACUGGGAUUCCUGGUGUAGCGGUGAAAUGCGCAGAUAUCAGGAAGAACACCAAUGGCGAAAGCAGCUCUCUGGGACGGUACUGACGCUGAGACGCGAAAGCGUGGGGAGCGAACAGG